CAGUCGCCACGGUAAUACGGAGGGUGCGAGCGUUAAUCGGAUUUACUGGGCGUAAAGCGUGCGUAGGCGGCUUCUUAAGUCGGAUGUGAAAUCCCUGAGCUUAACUUAGGAAUUGCAUUCGAUACUGGGAAGCUAGAGUAUGGGAGAGGAUGGUAGAAUUCCAGGUGUAGCGGUGAAAUGCGUAGAGAUCUGGAGGAAUACCGAUGGCGAAGGCAGCCAUCUGGCCUAAUACUGACGCUGAGGUACGAAAGCAUGGGGAGCAAACAGGAUUAGAUACCCGGGUAGUCCCUGUCUCUUAUAC
rnacentral:rRNA from 1 species